rnacentral:piRNA from 1 species
UUGAAUCGGUUUGAAGCCCGAGAGCGUGC